rnacentral:tRNA from 1 species
GGCAGGUUGCCCGAGUGGCCAAAGGGAACGGUCUGUAAAACCGUCGGCUCAGCCUACGCAAGUUCGAACCUUGCACCUGCCACCA